rnacentral:rRNA from 1 species
GAUCCUGGCUCAGGAUGAACGCUAGCUACAGGCUUAACACAUGCAAGUCGAGGGGCGGCAUGGUCUUAGCUUGCUAAGGCCGAUUGCGACCGGCGCACGGGUUAGUAACACGUAUCCAACCUGCCGUCUACUCUUGGACAGCCUUCUGAAAGGAAGAUUAAUACAAGAUGGCAUCAUGAGUCCACAUGUUCACAUGAUUAAAGGUAUUCCGGUAGACGAUGGGGAUGCG